CGGCGCAUCAGCGACUGGCCGCGAGCGAUUGACCGCGUAAGCGAGUGACCGCGAAGAGCGCGGGGCCGCGAGCAAAUUGGCGCGAAGGAGAUGGCCGCGAAGCGAGUGCUCGUGAAGAAGGCCAACAGUAGUAACGUCCGCGUGACAGUCAGCGAACGUCCGCGAGGCCAUAAGUACGUCAAUGAACGCUCGCAAGGAACAUUAUCACAAGAGGCAGAGCUCGCUGAGUGCACUUGGCCUAAAUCUCGUCAGCGAGAUAAGAUCCGGCGAAGCACUGCGCCAGAAUUUUUCCAACAAGAUUCACUCCGAAGCGAAGUCGAUCUAAAGGCCAGCGAGUGGUCUUCAGCGGACAACCUUCUGCCAAUCACUGUGGCAGACGCUGAGGUAGAACCAAGCGGAAGGCUUUCAAGCGAAUUCCGGAAGAGUUCCUCCGUCGGCGAGGAGGAGACAAAGUCGAACUGUAGGAGCCUCCAUA
rnacentral:lncRNA from 1 species